rnacentral:snRNA from 1 species
GGAUGUGAGGGCUAUCACCAGGUUUGAUUUAGUUCCUCUGGCUGGCUGGGUGAGUGUCUCCUUCCUCUCUCAGUGCUCCAUGUGCAUCCCUCCCAAAGCUAUAUGCUUGGUCAGAAAGGACAACCACCACAGACAUUCUUCAGGAGGACCAUUCUUCAGUCAAGGGUAUACAAGCAGCUGUGCUCCCCUGCUAGAACCUCCAAACAAGCUCUCAAGAGCUGAGUUGGGUGAUUGCUCAUCUGCCUGGUUGGUGAGACAAACAUUUCCCCAACAACAAUGUGGACAUUUAUUU